rnacentral:lncRNA from 1 species
CACACACACACACACACACACACACACACACACACACACACACUCACUCACUUACACAUAAUAUACAGAAACAAGAAAUGAUGUAUAUAUUUGAUUAUAAACAGACAAUCAUACGAAUACAUAUCAUUUUCUUAUACAUAACCCGUUUUUAUAUCAAUUUCAGUUUUCCUGCUUUACAACCUCCAGUUUAUCGCUUGUAUUUCAAACCAUUUUUUUUCUAAUUUUCCUAAAAACAAAACGACUGCUUUUCUGCAUGCAAUUUUGACAAUAGUCUUUACUUGUCAUAUUAGAUCUAAUGAGAUUUUGUACAGUAAUGAUAAGAUCAUAGACUCAUUAUAAAGAUGAAUUCAUUUUCUUACUUCUGUUUUAGAAAGUUUGAGAUGAAUAGUAGCAGUUCCUUGCGCUUGCAUUCAUUCAAGAUAUAGAUUUUCAUCAUCUCUUUGUAACUCAAUAUUAUUAUUUUUUUAGUCUUGUGUUUUAAUAUAUCGAAAGUUUGGCGAACAAAGCAAACAAUCUUUUAUUCAAGAAAAUGAAAGGAAAUUAAUUUUUUACCCUGGUUUUUACAUUUCAAUUUCUUAUGUUCAAAUUUCUGUUAUUUGAUUUAAGUUACCAUGGUAAGUCUUUAGACCACCAUUCUAUAGUUCCAUUUUUUUUAAAGAAGUUAUCGACAUUUCGUUGUUACAGAAGAGGCAUCCCAUUUGACUGUCUUCAACUGUCCUGUCAUUCAAGGUUUUAGUUGACGAUGGAUUCUUCUUCAAGUUUCUUUGUCUUUAUGCUGUUGUUAUGCCAUUAUCUUGAAUCACUCUAUCUGUAACGCUAUGCGCUUAACGCAGUUGAAAGUAUAACCAUUUUCCCUUUUCGUUUCCAUCUGUGGAGUGUGUCAUAAACUUCCGUUUUUUUCUUUUCGUUUCUUUGGACCUUUAACAUGAAAAAGCAAAAAAUAUUUCUAAACUUCUCUCCUCUUUACGUUUGCUUGUUUGAUUGUUUGUUGUUUCCUGAUCAUCCAGUGUUUCUUCGCCACCUGUUCUACGCAGAAUGUUCUUCUCUGUGCCCUAAUACAUGUUCUCUUCCUCUGCAGUGGUCCGCUCCAGGGCGGGGGUCAGUGCUCCCCAUCCCCCCCUACCGUCCUGCCUUCAGAACUAUUCCCAACAAUAAUCUUCAACAAAGCUAAGAAAACCUGCUCUAAUGGUAACACAUACGAACAAUGUUCAUGAACGUUCCGAUUAAGCGCUGAGUAGGUGUGUGUGUCAUGAGUGAUGCCCACGGACGACCUUCAAUGUCAUGAGGCGCUUCUGACGACUAUGGUUCAUGAACUUUCUUCUCAAAAAAAAAAAAAAAAAAAAAAAAAAAAAAAAAAAAAAAGGACACGUGUGAAUUAUUUUUUUCCCUUGGAUAUGCAUCUGAUGAUCACCUGAUUUUCUCUCUCAUAAGCCUCAGCACUGAAUAGCAAGUACGUUCUUCGCAGAAUAAGGCUAUGAGUGAUUAAAAAAAAAAAAGUACUUUAUACAUAUGCUGAAAUCCUUAUUUUGUUCUUGUAUUCAUACACCGGGACACCAAUCUGAAGGGGAAGGACACCAGCUCUCCGUACCUGGGGAGGAAGCACGCGACGUCACUGUGGCAGGAUGUACGUAGGGAGGAAGGACGGGGUGCCCUUAGCCUUCUGUCUGCCGAGCUUAUCACACACGGGUGGAAUUGGACACAGCGCCGUCUGCGAGCCCACGCAUUUUAGAAGAGUUACUCCGGGAAGAAAACGGGACUAGUUAUGAGGGAUGAGAGAAAAUGGGAACGAGUUUUCGAGCAUAGACAAUAAUAUUGUAGACAUUUUUUUGAUGUCAGUGGUUCAAGGACGAGAAACGGGACAACUAUGAACCAAAAAAUAAAAACUCGGGAUAGAUGAUGUUUUUAGACGAGAACAAGGAGUGAUGAAGACCGUGAUUUUCUUAUUUUUAUCAAAGAAUUGUUAUAUUAAUUCUAGUGUGUAAAUAUUCUCAACGUAAGAUUUGCUUGUGGCAAUGUUUGUUAGGAAGGUUAGUUUUAAUGGUUACUGAAACUGUUUCAGAAUUUGUUUUACUUUCCCUCAUUUCAUACGAUAGACACAACGGUGUACAGUUAUUACAAAAAAAAUGUUUACAUGUUAGAUUUUGAAUAAUUCAUUUUCUUUUGCCGGAACGUGAGAGCUUUUCAUUAGCGAAGUAAAAGAGCCACAGAUUUGAUGUGUUGCCCGAGAUGCCAUGCGUAAACAGGCAAAAAUAUGUCGUUGACUCUUUUUAUUGUACUGUACAUAUCUAGCGACGAAGUGUAAACCUGGCGAUUUUUUCCGAAAAAAAAAUAUGAUCCUUUUUUAAAAAUAUUGUAGGUAACGUUUCAAAUAGGUGCUAUUGUUUAUUUUGUAUGCAGUGAGAGGGAACUUGAAUGAACCAACCCGCUAAAGGUAACGUAAAACUGCUACAAGUGAUUCUGUCUUUUUAUAUAAUGUCUACUGAAUUGUAUUUAUAUACUCCACUUGUAUUAUGGUUACACGAUUGUCAUUAUGCAAUGAUCUACUCAAAUUAAUUGGCUUUCACACACCAGAUCCACCCUCCGUCCAUCUUUUAGCAUUGACAGCGUAUUUUUCUCCAGGUUUUUGCACUUGUCAUUGUUGGAAUCAUGACGUCAUAGAUAUGAUUCGUUGUGACGUCACCUUAAAUAGUGACGUCACCCUCCUGCAGCGCUGCCAGAUGUAAGCAUGGACAGAGGUGUGUGAUAUCCUUCACUCUGAAAGAUGAUUUAUAUUAUUGUAUUAAGCUUUUUUGGACGCACCUCGAGUGUCUAUAGGUUUCCUGACGCUCUCCAUUGUUAACAAGAAAAAAAUAAAUAAAUAUAUACAUAUACAUAUAAAUAUAUAUAUAUAUACAUAUACUUGUGAAAAUGAUAAUAAGUUGCGUACUGAUGCAUGAGCCGUGACAGGUAGAGUGUAUGCCAUAGAUAUCAUUGCCGCAGUUGAGAAUAUAUUCCAGUUUUUCCCUCCAGUUUCAUGAUAUAACCAUUAUACUGAGAUUCGACGCAGUUAAAAGUCGUGUUAAAGUCACCCAGAGUCUGUUUUUUACCUAACUGUGUGAAAUAUUAUGAAUGAGCUUGUCACUGCUGAAGGUCGUAUGGAGAAGACAAACAAAGUGAUACUUAUUGUGUCACUGUAACUGUAUUUCACUGUAACUUUAAGCAAGUGUAAUCAAAUAAGAGAUAUGACUUACAGUGAUAGGCUCAUUUUUUUAUUUGUUUUAGCCGUAUUAGGUAUAUAGGCCUACUCUCUGCAUUGGAGAUGUGUGACUAUUAUAAACUACGCGGUCAUUAACCAUUAUAUCUUUUGUUUCUAUGUUUAAUAUAUAUUAAGUUCUUUGUAUUUCAUUUUAGAGUUAACCAUUCCUAUAUUAGUUUGCAUUCCCUUAGCAUGAGGGUCGAGCUGAGCGCGCCGAAGCGUCCAUUUUUGUUUUAUUGUUUGUUUUUGUUCAUCCUUGUGUCCUUACGACCGUGGCUGUGGGUGUAUUGUGAUUGUGCGUAUGUGUCUAUUGUGUGGGGUAUUUUGAGUGUGCGUGUGUGUGUGUGUGUGUGUGUGUGUGUGUGUGUGUGUGUGUGUGUGUGUGUGUGUGUGUUUGUUUGUUUGUGUGUUUGCGCGCGCGCAUGUGCGUAUGCUGUGCGUGUGAACGUGUGAAUGUGUGUGUUUCAAUAUGCGUGUCUGAGUGUGUCUGUGUCUGUGCAUGUACAUCCAUACAGACACACCCUAAACACACACCCGAUUUAGCAUGGACCUCCACAUCUUCAACAAAAAAAAUAAAAAUAAAGAAAAAAUGAA